rnacentral:rRNA from 1 species
GACGAACGCUGGCGGCGUGCCUAAUACAUGCAAGUCGAGCGCAGGAAACUGACGGAACUCUUCGGAGGGAAGGCAGCGGAAUGAGCGGCGGACGGGUGAGUAACACGUAAGGAACCUGCCUCAAGGAUUGGGAUAACUCCGAGAAAUCGGAGCUAAUACCGGAUAGUUCAUCGGACCGCAUGGUCCGUUGAUGAAAGGCGCUUCGGCGUCACCUUGAGAUGGCCUUGCGGUGCAUUAGCUAGUUGGUGGGGUAACGGCCCACCAAGGCGACGAUGCAAAGCCGACCGGGGAGGGUACGCGGCCACACGGGGAAUGAGACACGGCCCAGACUCCUACGGGAGGCAGCAGUAGGGAAUCUUCCACAAUGGACGAAAGUCUGAUGGAGCAACGCCGCGUGAGUGAUGAAGGAGUUCGGAUCGUAAAACUCUGUUGUAAGGGAAGAACACGUACGAGAGGGAAUGCUCGUACCUUGACGGUACCUUACGAGAAAGCCACGGCUAACUACGUGCCAGCAGCCGCAGUAA